UACGAAGGGUGCUAGCGUUGUUCGGAAUCAUUGGGCGUAAAGCGUGCGUAGGCGGUUUGGUAAGUCGACUGUGAAAGCCCCGGGCUUAACCUGGGAACUGCGUUUGAUACGGAUGGGCUAGAGUUCGGGAGAGGAGAGUGGAAUUCCCAGUGUAGAGGUGAAAUUCGUAGAUAUUGGGAAGAACACCGGUGGCGAAGGCGGCUCUCUGGACCGAGACUGACGCUGAGGCGCGAAAGCGUGGGGAGCAAACAGG
rnacentral:rRNA from 1 species